rnacentral:rRNA from 1 species
CGCAGGAUGGGGCUGCGUCCUAUCAGGUUGUUGGUGGGGUAACGGCCCACCAAGCCUAAGACGGGUAGGGGCCCUGAGAGGGGGAGCCCCCAGAUGGACUCUGAGACAAGAGUCCAGGCCCUACGGGGCGCAGCAGGCGCGAAAACUCCGCAAUGGGCGAAAGCCCGACGGGGUUACCCCGAGUGCCACCCUCGUGGUGGCUUUUGCCCGCUGUAAGAAGGCGGGCGAAUAAGGGGAGGGCAAGUCGGGUGUCAGCCGCCGCGGUAAUACCCGCUCCCCGAGUGGUAAGGACUAUUACUGGGCCUAAAGCGCCCGUAGCCGGCCUAGUGUGUCUCUCGUUAAAUCCACAGGCCCAACCUGUGGGCUGCGGGAGAUACUACUAGGCUUGGGGGUGGGAGAGGCGCUCGGUAUUCCCGGGGUAGGGGUAAAAUCCUCUGAUCCCGGGAGGACCACCAGUGGCGAAGGCGGAGCGCCAGAACACGCCCGACGGUGAGGGGCGAAAGCUGGGGGAGCAAACGGGAUUAGAUACCCCGGUAGUCCCAGCUGUAAACGAUGCGGGCCAGGUGCCGAGACGGCUACGAGCCGCCUCGGUGCCGAAGGGAAGCCAUUAAGCCCGCCGCCUGGGGAGUACGGCCGCAAGGCUGAAACUUAAAGGAAUUGGCGGGGGAGCACCACAAGGGGUGGACGUUGCGGCUUAAUCGGAUUCAACGCCGGAAACCUUACCGGGGGCGACGGCAGCAUGAUGGUCAGGCUGACGACCUUACCGGACGAGCCGAGAGGAGGUGCAUGGCCGUCGCCGGUGCGUGCCGUGAGGUGUCCUGUUAAUUCAGGCAACGGACGAGACCCGCGCCCCCUGUUGCCAUCGGCCGAGAGGCGCUGGGCACUCAGGGGGGACCGCCCCCGAAAGGGGGAGGAAGGAGCGGGCUACGGCAGGUCGGUAUGCCCCGAAUCCCCCGGGCCGCACGCGACGUUCAAUGGCGGAGACAGUGGGAUGCCACCCCGAAAGGGGGAGCUAAUCCCUAAACUCCGCCUCAGUUGGAAUCGAGGGUUGCAACUCGCCCUCGUGAACGCGGAAUCCCUAGUAACCGCCCGUUACCACCGGGCGGUGAAUACGUCCC